UACGUCAGCGGCAGACGGGUGAGUAACGCGUGGGAACAUACCUUUUGGUUCGGAACAACACAGGGAAACUUGUGCUAAUACCGGAUAAGCCCUUACGGGGAAAGAUUUAUCGCCGAAAGAUUGGCCCGCGUCUGAUUAGCUAGUUGGUGAGGUAACGGCUCACCAAGGCGACGAUCAGUAGCUGGUCUGAGAGGAUGACCAGCCAGGCUGGGACUGAGACACGGCCCAG
rnacentral:rRNA from 1 species